rnacentral:lncRNA from 1 species
CCAAGUGACAGAUAUUGUAAAAUCAGGCUAUGAGCUGGUGGUCCCAAAUGAAGGCAUGCCCAUCUCAAAGAAACCUGGCAAGAAAGAGAAUCUUAGAAUCAAGUUUGAUGUUAUCUGUCCAUCAAGGCUGACCACACAACAGAAGUGUGAUCUAAGAAGGAUUCAGAGUGAUGCUGAUUACUAAACAAAUAUUUUGAGUCUAAUAGUUGUAACUAUCCAUUAACCUUCUUUCACAUGAAAAUAAGUUUACACUGUAUAUAACUAAGUAAUUCUAAUAAUCUGGGGAAAAAAUGUAAAUUAUAUUAAACCCAAAAUGAUACAAUAAUAAACGGGGUAUACCCCGCAGUUAAAGAAAAUAAAAAAUCUCCUUGAUACAAGAUGCUAAAACAAAUGCAACAGGUGCACUUGUCUAUACAUAAGAAAUCCAAUGCUGAUGUUUGAUGGCUUGGGUAUAGGUAGAAGGUUUUGUAUCAAGGGAGAUAGAGAGGGAGUAUGCUUUGUGUUGCGGUGAAAAGGAAUCAUGCGAGAGGUGGGAACUGAUAGGAUAGGAACAUUUGGAUCACUAGUGGGAUUUGCAUGAACCUCUGUAGAAGAACCACCAUGGUUAUGUUGCGAGGCAUUGAUAAGUGUGUUUGUUCAGCACUGCUCCAAGAUGGAGCUCUGCUACCAUCAAAUAAUUUUGAAGGAAGUAAUUCUAAUAAUCUAUAUGAAGUCAGGGGUUGCUCCUGAGAUUUUUGAUGCCCACGAGCGAACCAAAAAAAAAUUAUGCUCUUAUAAUCAUUUAAAUAUUAUUCUUGUUUUUUUUUUCACAACUGAUAAAUAAUUUGUUCACAAUCAAGAUUAAAAAAAACAUUUUCAAUAAGAUUUUAACAUCUUCAAUUUUGAUAGAUGCAUAGAUGCAACUGUAACAUAAAUAAUUAAUAUUAUAUUAAAAUAUGUUUUUUAUUCUUAAGAAAUAGGAAACGUUCAUAUUUCAUAUUUGUAAAGAAUUUUGUUUAUUUUUUGUCCUCAUAAAAUUAUAAUAUGUCAAAUUUUGACCUAAAACGAGAUUCGGGUAAAUUCGAACCUGCGUUGGUAUUUUUUAAGAAUAGAAAAUGCAAUCUGUGGCAUUGUUUUUGAAAUUUUUGUCAAAUUUUUUACAAUUUAUGAUAUUUUUUAAACCCUAAAUUUAUGACCACAUUGGCAUUGUCUGAUUAUAACAUUACAUAGUUCUUAAGGCCCACAUUAGCAUUGAAACUUUAGAACCUCAUUGGCAUUGUCUGAUUAUAACAUUACAUAGUUCUUAAGGCCCACAUUAGCAUUGACACAUUAGAACCACAUUGGCACUGUCACAUUAUAACCUUACAUAUUGCUUAAGCCCACCACUGUAUGAAGUUUGUGCAUAUUACAAAUAUAACUAAAGAAAGACUAUAUCAGGAAAACCAACUUUACUUGCUGAUCAUGUAACUAGUUAAAAGAGUGUAGCUGCACAAACAUACCAGCUUGUUAGUUUCUUAGGUGACUUUAAAAUGAGCAUUCCAUUGAAGCUGUGGAGUUGAAAGCAAGGGUGUUGCCCUUGUUGGAAUUGGAUGACUCUUUUUUUGAUGUUGAAGAAUUGAAUGACUCUGAAAACCUUUUAGAAUACGAAAAAUUAUAGAUGAUGGGUGCCAUGUUGGUUCUUCUGGCGGGGAAUUAAUGAUAAACCAAGAAGCUAGAGGAGUCUGAGGUUUCUUAUUUGGUUU